AUAUGUGUGUGUGUGUGUGUGUGUGUGUGUGUGUACGUACACACACACACACACACACACACACACAGCACAGUAUGU